GCAGUGGUAGCUCAGUGGUUGAGAUGUCUGAUUACUCAUCGGAAGGUCGUGAGUUCAAAUCCCAGCACUGCC